rnacentral:rRNA from 1 species
AUUGAACGCUGGCGGCAGGCCUAACACAUGCAAGUCGAGCGGAGCGGCGGACGGGUGAGUAAUGCCUAGGAAUCUGCCUGGUAGUGGGGGAUAACGUCCGGAAACGGGCGCUAAUACCGCAUACUAUCAGAUGAGCCUAGGUCGGAUUAGCUAGUUGGUGGGGUAAAGGCCUACCAAGGCGACGAUCCGUCACUGGUCUGAGUGGAUGAUCAGUCACAAUGGAACUGAGACACGGGCCAGACUCCUACGGGAGGCAGCAGUGGGGAAUAUUGGACAAUGGGCGAAAGCCUGAUCCAGACAUGCCGCGUGUGUGAAGAAGGUCGUCGGAUUGUAAAGCACUUUAAGUUGGGAGGCGUUACCAACAGAAUAAGCACCGGCUAACUUCGUGCCAGCAGCCGCGGUAAUAC